UAUAUAACAUGCUGUAUUGUAUAUAAUUCAAGGAAAAUGCAUUUACAUCUGUAUGGUAUCACAAAACCAACAAAAAUCUGUUGGUUCUUCAAUAAAAUAUAUUUUCUAGUUAUUGUAUCUUUUUUACCCUUAAGCAGCAAUGUAGCAUAUCUGCAACAAAUUAUUUCCCCCCCUGAAAUUCAAAGGGGAUUUUUUUUUUCUUUUUAAUUGACUUUCUAGGCUCAUUUGUAGGUUAAUUUUGCAAGAAAAUAUUUUUUUUAUUUGAAAUUCAAUAAUUGCCACUUAAAGGGUUAACUAUGUAUAUAUAUGCAUGUAUGUGGUUAUAACUGUUUGUGGCUAACUGGUUAUGUAACUGGUAUGUAUAUUU